rnacentral:rRNA from 1 species
UCAGGAUGAACGCUAGCGACAGGCUUAACACAUGCAAGUCGAGGGGCAGCAUAAAAGUAGCAAUACUUGGUGGCGACCGGCGCACGGGUGAGUAACGCGUAUGCAACCUACCUAUCAGAGGGGAAUAACCCGGCGAAAGUCGGACUAAUACCGCAUAAAACAGGGGCACCGCAUGGUGAUAUUUGUUAAAGAAAUUCGCUGAUAGAUGGGCAUGCGUUCCAUUAGGUAGUUGGUGAGGUAACGGCUCACCAAGCCGACGAUGGAUAGGGGAACUGAGAGGUUGGUCCCCCACACUGGUACUGAGACACGGACCAGACUCCUACGGGAGGCAGCAGUGAGGAAUAUUGGUCAAUGGGCGGGAGCCUGAACCAGCCAAGUCGCGUGAAGGAAAGAAGGAUCUAUGGUUCGUAAACUUCUUUUGCAGGGGAAUAAAGUGCAGGACGUGUCCUGUUUUGUAUGUACCCUGAGAAUAAGGAUCGGCUAACUCCGUGCCAGCAGCUGC